rnacentral:rRNA from 1 species
AUUGAACGCUGGCGGCAUGCUUUACACAUGCAAGUCGAACGGCAGCGCGGGGCAACCUGGCGGCGAGUGGCGCACGGGUGAGUAAUAUAUCGGAACGUACCCAGAAGUGGGGGAUAACGUAGCGAAAGUUACGCUAAUACCGCAUACGAUCUACGGAUGAAAGUAGGGGACCGCAAGGCCUUAUGCUUUUGGAGCGGCCGAUAUCUGAUUAGCUAGUUGGUGAGGUAAAGGCUCACCAAGGCGACGAUCAGUAGCUGGUCUGAGAGGACGACCAGCCACAAUGGAAAUGAAACAAGGUCCAGACUCCUAAGGGAAGCAGCAAGGGGGAAUUUUGGAAAAUGGGCGGAAGGCUGAUCCAGGAAAGCCGGGUGAGUGAAGAAGGGCUUCGGGUUUUAAAACUCUUUUGGCAGGGAAGAAACGGUAAGGGCUAAAAACCCUUGCUAAUGAAGGUACCUUAAGAAUAAGCACCGGCUAACUACGUG